rnacentral:rRNA from 1 species
AGGGUUCGAUUAUGGCUCAGGACGAACGCUGGCGGCGUGCUUAACACAUGCAAGUCGAACGGAGCACCCUUGACUGAGGUUUCGGCCAAAUGAUAGGAAUGCUUAGUGGCGGACUGGUGAGUAACGCGUGAGGAACCUGCCUUCCAGAGGGGGACAACAGUUGGAAACGACUGCUAAUACCGCAUGACGCAUGACCGGGGCAUCCCGGGCAUGUCAAAGAUUUUAUCGCUGGAAGAUGGCCUCGCGUCUGAUUAGCUAGAUGGUGGGGUAACGGCCCACCAUGGCGACGAUCAGUAGCCGGACUGAGAGGUUGACCGGCCACAUUGGGACUGAGAUACGGCCCAG